rnacentral:lncRNA from 1 species
CAUCUUGUACACUGCAGCCAGUGUUUUCUAAAACACAAAUCUGACUUUAUUAGUAUUUUUUUGCUAAAAAUUCUGUGCCAGUUUCCCUCUGCCCUUAAGAUGGAGUUUUUUUCUAAAAAUGAUCCCCACAGCUAAAUGUGUGCAUUUUAUGGUAUAUAAAUAACAUCUUGAUAAAGCUGUUAAAAUGUGAUAAGAAUAAACUGGCCUUUCAAAAUGCCACUUUUUCCCUUAGAACAAUCAUUACAAGGGAACUAACCACUAUUUUUUUUUUUUUGAGACGGAGUCUCGCUCUGUCACCCAGGCUGGAAUGCAAUGGCGCGAUCUCAGCUCACUGCAACCUCCGCCUCCCAGGUUCAAGCGAUUCUCCUGCCUCAGCCUCCUGAGUAGCUGGGAUUAUAGGUGCGCACUACCAU